rnacentral:rRNA from 1 species
GACGAACGCUGGCGGCGUGCUUAACACAUGCAAGUCGAACGGAAAGGCCCUGCUUUUGUGGGGUGCUCGAGUGGCGAACGGGUGAGUAACACGUGAGUAACCUGCCCUUGACUUUGAGAUAACUUCAGGAAACUGGGGCUAAUACCGGAUAGGAGCUCCUGCUGCAUGGUGGGGGUUGGAAAGUUUCGGCGGUUGGGGAUGGACUCGCGGCUUAUCAGCUUGUUGGUGGGGUAGUGGCUUACCAAGGCUUUGACGGGUAGCCGGCCUGAGAGGGUGACCGGCCACAUUGGGACUGGGAUACGGCCCAGACUCCUACGGGAGGCAGCAGUGGGGAAUAUUGCACAAUGGGCGGAAGCCUGAUGCAGCAACGCCGCGUGCGGGAUGACGGCCUUCGGGUUGUAAACCGCUUUCGCCUGUGACGAAGCGUGAGUGACGGUAAUGGGUAAAGAAGCACCGGCUAACUACGU